rnacentral:rRNA from 1 species
UACGUAGGGGGCAAGCGUUGUCCGGAUUUAUUGGGCGUAAAGAGCGUGUAGGCGGUUAGGUAGGUCCGUUGUGAAAACUCGAGGCUCAACCUCGAGACGCCGAUGGAAACCAUCUAACUAGAGUCCGGAAGAGGAGAGUGGAAUUCCUGGUGUAGCGGUGAAAUGCGCAGAUAUCAGGAAGAACACCCGUGGCUAAGGCGGCUCUCUGGAACGGUACUGACGCUGAGACGCGAAAGCGUGGGGAGCGAACAGG